CCUACGGGAGGCAGCAGUAGGGAAUCUUCCACAAUGGACGCAAGUCUGAUGGAGCAACGCCGCGUGAGUGAAGAAGGUUUUCGGAUCGUAAAGCUCUGUUGUUGGUGAAGAAGGAUAGAGGUAGUAACUGGCCUUUAUUUGACGGUAAUCAACCAGAAAGUCACGGCUAACUACGUGCCAGCAGCCGCGGUAAU
rnacentral:rRNA from 3 species